CCUACGGGGGGCAGCAGUGGGGGAUAUUGCACAAUGGGGGAAACCCUGAUGCAGCGACGCCGCGUGGGUGAAGAAGUAUUUCGGUAUGUAAAGCCCUAUCAGCAGGGAAGAAAGAAGACGGUACCUGACUAAGAAGCCCCGGCUAACUACGUGCCAGCAGCCGCGGUAAUACGUAGGGGGCGAGCGUUAUCCGGAUUCACUGGGUGUAAAGGGAGCGUAGACGGCCGUGCAAGCCAGGAGUGAAAGCCCGGGGCCCAACCCCGGGACUGCUCUUGGAACUGUGCGGCUGGAGUGCGGGAGGGGCAGGCGGAAUUCCGGGUGUAGCGGUGAAAUGCGUAGAUAUCAGGAGGAACACCGGCGGCGAAGGCGGCCUGCUGGACCGCGACUGACGUUGAGGCUCGAAAGCGUGGGGAGCGAACAGGAUUAGAUACCCCUGUAGUC
rnacentral:rRNA from 1 species